GCUAAGCUUCGUAGUCGAAAGGGAAAGAGCCCAGACCGCCAACUAAGGUCCCCAAAUACAUGCUAAGUGGUAAAGGAAGUCGGGAAGCAGAGACAGCCAGGAGGUUGGCUUAGAAGCAGCCAUCCUUUAAAGAAAGCGUAAUAGCUCACUGGUCGAGCAGCCCGGUGCCGACAAUCCAACGGGGCUCAAGCAUGUUACCGAAGUUGCGGGUGUGCAGCAAUGCACGCGGUAGGAGAGCAUUCCAACGGCGUUGAAGGUGACGCGUAAGCGUUGCUGGAGCUUCUGGAAGAGACUCUGCCAGCAUAAGUAGCGACAAUGGGGGCGAGAACCCCCCACGCCGUAAGUCUAAGGUUUCCUGAGAAAGGUUAAUCCGCUCAGGGUUAGUCGGAGCCUAAGGUGAGGCCGAAAGGCGUAGCUGAUGGACAACUGGUUAAAAUUCCAGUACUUCUUCUGUUUUCGAUGCGGGGAUGCUGCACGAAAUUCCCGGUGCGAAAUGGUUCCAAUCCGGGAGCUAGUGAGGUUGGGGUAGGCAAAUCCACCCAGCCGUCAGCCUGGAAAAUCCGCUAAGGUUAGGGCAGAAGAAUCCGUACCACAAACCGACACAGGUGGACAAGAUGAGUAUUCUCAGGCGCUCGGGUGAUGGUCUGUGAAGGAACUAGGCAAAUUAGCUCCGUAACUUCGGGAGAAGGAGUGCCCACCUCAGACGUGGGUCGCAGUGAAUAGCGUCAGGCGACUGUUUAACAAAAACACAGGUCUCUGCUAAGUCAAAAAAACGACGUAUAGGGGCUGACGCCUGCCCGGUGCCGGAAGGUUAAAAGGAGGGGUUAGUCGCAAGGCGAAGCUCUGAAUUGAAGCCCCGGUGAACGGCGGCCGUAACAAUAACGGUCCUAAGGUAGCGAAAUUCCUUGUCGGGUAAGUUCCGACCUGCACGAAUGGCGUAACGAUCUGACGACUGUCGGCACAGGCCGCCCGGCGAACUUGUGGUUCCGGUGAAGACGCCGGAUGCCCGCCACUAGACGAAAAGACCCCGUGCACCUUUACUAUACUUUAACAAUGAAUUAUGGGAUGGACUGCGUAGGAUAGGUGGGAGGCUUUGAACCCGGAUUCUUGGAUUCGGGGGAGCCAAUGGUGAAAUACCACCCUGUUUAUUCUGUGAUUCUAACCUACCGACCUCAUCGGCCGGAGGGACAUUGUUAGACGGGUAGUUUGACUGGGGCGGUCGCCUCCAAAAUUGUAACGGAGGCGUGCGAAGCUUGGUUCAGGAGGUUUGGAAAUCCUCCUUCGAGUGCAAUAGCAUAAACCAGGUUGACUGUGAGACCUACAAGUCAAGCAGCUGCGAAAGCG
rnacentral:rRNA from 1 species